CUUUUAAGAGCCAGGGACGGAUGCCUUGGGUACAAAAGCUGAAGAAGGACGUAAUUGACUGCGAAAAGUUCUGGUAAGGUGUCAAUAACCGCUAUCAACCAGAAAUCUCCGAAUGGGACAACCUAUCGCCUAUAUGGUGAUGUUUAUAAACAGCAAGCAUGUGAAGUGAAAUAUCUCAGUAGCAUGAAGAAAAGAAAUCGUAAGAGAUUCCCUUAGUAGUGACGAUCGAACAGGGAAGAGUCUAAACUGAUUACGUGUCAAGGUGCUAGCCGUUGCGUAAUACAGGGUUGUGGGAUUGUUGUAGCGUAUCUAGUAAAUACGCAAAAGAGUUAUAUAAAAUAUGAUGGCAGCGGAAUGGAUUAGAUAUCCAGUCACAGAGGGUGAUAGCCCCGUACGUAAACCUAUCGUAUCUCUUCAAUAACUCCCAAGUAAUAUCGGACACGUGAAAUCCGGUAUGAAUCAGGGCCGACCACGGUCUAAGACUAAAUACUUUUGUACACCGAUAGCGCAUAGUACCGCGAGGGAAAGGUGAAAAGAACCCCUGGUAGGGGAGUGAAAUAGAUUCUGAAAUCCUUGGCUUACAAGGGAGUGGGAGCUUUCGAGUGACCGCGUACCUAUUGACGAAUGGGCCAGCGAGUCAUUGGCAAUAGCAAGGUUAAGGUAAAAAACCGGAGCCGUAGGGAAACCGAGUCUUAAUAGGGCGAUUAGUUGUUGUUAAUGGACCCGAAGCGUUGUGAGCUACGCAUGGGCAGGUUGAUGGUUCGAGAGAUCGUUCCGGAGGACCGAACGGGUUGGUGCUGCAAAACCUUCCGAUGACCCGUGUGUUGGAGUGAAAAGCUUAUCGAACAACGUGAUAGCUGGUUCUCCUCGAAAUAGCUUUAGGGCUAGCCUGUAACGACGAUCUUAUAGAGGUAGAGCUCUGAUAAGGCUAGGGGCGUCGAGAGACGUUACCAAACCUUGUUAAACUUCGAAUGCUAUAAGGAAGGUUACAGAGUCAGACUACGGGGGUAAGCUCCGUGGUCAAAAGGGCAACAGCCCAGAUCUCUAAAUAAGGUCCCUAAGACGUAUCUCAGUGGAAAAAGAAGUGUUUCUGCUUUGACAUCUAGGAGGUUUGCUUAGAAGCAGCAAUCCUUUAAAGAAAGCGUAACAGCUCACUAGACGAGCGGAGAUGCGCUGAAAAUGUAACGGGGCUAAGAUACGCACCGAAUUUGAGAGUCCAUAUUUACUAUGGGCGGUAGAGGAGUGUUCCAUGCAGCGGUGAAGAUGGGGUGUAAACCUAGUUGGAGCGCAUGGAAGCAAACAUGCUGGCAUGAGUAACGCCUAUUAAUGAAAAUUUAAUAUACCGAAAGCCCAAGGUUUCCUACGCAACGUUCAUCGUCGUAGGGUUAGCCGGGACCUAACUACACACCGACAGGUAGUGUGGGAUGGAUAACUAGUUAAUAUUCUAGUGCUUUGUUAUACAGCAAUGGAGUGACGGGAUGGGAUUUGUAAGAGUGACUGAAGGAUUGUCAUUGAACAAACAAGCUUAUCUUAACUUUGGUUAAGGGGGUGAUAAUAGGAAAAUCCGUUAUCAUUAUAUAGCGAGUUUCAUCAAGAGAUGAUAGCAAUAUCAUCAAUUCUUAUCGUUCUGUCUCCAAGAAAAACUUCUAGCGUUAAUGUAUAAUAAACCCGUACCGAGAUCAGACACAUGUGGGCUAGUAGAGAAUACUAAGGUAAUCGAGAUAAUUAGUGGUUAAGGAACUUGGCACAUUAGCGUCCGUAACUUCGGGAUAAGGACUCCCUGCAGAAAUGUAGGGCGCAGCGAAAGAAAUGGGGGGAACUGUUUAUCAAAAACAUAGCUUCAUGCUAACACGAAAGUGGAUGUAUAUGAGGUGAUGCCUGUCCAAUGCCAGAAUGUCAUGCUCUCUUGUGCAAGCUCGAGAGUUAAGCACUGGUCAAUGACGGCCGUAACUAUGACGGUCCUAAGGUAGCGAAAUUCCUUGUCGGGUAAGUUCCGACCCGCAUGAAUGGCAUAAUCAUCCCCAUACUGUCUUAACCCUAAACUCGGUGAAAUUACAUUUCCGGUAAAAAUGCCGGAUAGUUGCAGUUAGACGGAAAGACCCCGUGAAGCUUUACUAUAGAUUGGUAUUGUUAUAUAGCAUAGAAUGUUCAGUAUACGUGGGAGACUUUGAGAUUCAAGCGCUAGCUUGGGUGGAGUCGUCGUUGAGAUACCACGCACUUUAUGUCGUAUAACUAACCCCUACAAAUAGGGGAACAGUGCCAGUUGGGUAGUUUACCUGGGGCUGGUGCCUCCUAAAAAGUAACGGAGGCGUGCAAAGGUCUGCUAUUUACGGAUGGAAACCGUAAUCGUCGUAUAUUAGCAUAAGCAGGCUUGACUGUGAGACUAACAGGUCGAACAGGUACGAAAGUAGGUUAAAGUGAUCCGGAUCUUCCAUGUGGAAGGGGAUCCGCUCAACGGAUAAAAGUUACUCCGGGGAUAACAGGCUAAUGGGAUUUAAGCGUUCAUAGCGACGAUUCCGUUUGGCACCUCGAUGUCGACUCGUCGCAUCCUGGGGCUGUAGAAGGUCCCAAGGGUCGGGCUGUUCGCCCGUUAAAGCGGGACGCGAGUUGGGUUCAGAACGUCGUGAGACAGUUCGGUCCCUAUCUACUGUGACCGUAGGAAAUUUGAGAGAUGCUGCCCUUAGUACGAGAGGACCGGGGUGGACGAGUCUCUGGUGAAACAGUUGUCCAACCAUUGGGCACCGCUGUGUAGCUACACUCGGUAUAGAUAACCACUGAAAGCAUAUAAGUGGGAAGCUUGUCUCAAGAUUAGAUUUCCCGCACUUCGGUGCAUAAGACCUCUGGGAGACUACCAGGUUGAUAGGUAUCAUGUGGAAGCAUAGCAAUGUGUUGAGCAGAGAUAUACUAAUCGGUCGAAUGG
rnacentral:rRNA from 1 species